GACACACAGGCGCGUGACCUGGGCACCGGGCCAUGGCACAGGGUGCCGGCAAAGCAGGAAUCAAGGAAGAGAAAUGAGAAUGGGCCCCAAGGGCCUUGGCUGGCCGCAGAGCCAUCUUUCCUGGCUGCAAUCUGCUCAACUCGAAACCCGCACCGCUGGCUUCCCACAGUGGUGGGGGAUCCAGCGAGGUAAGAGCGGAGAGAGGACAUGCUCUGUCCCUCGUGAUGCGCAUCCGCAUCUGACAUCUCACACUGGCCACUGCCCUUCUUCCCCACCCAGAUGAGGCCUCGCAGGGUCUGCCCAGGGGUGAGAGCACCGUGGUCUCAGGAGGGCCACCUUUGACGCUGCCCCCACCCCACAGUCCAGCUUCCGGUGUCCCCACCCAGGGUGGCUCAGGGAUGGACCCCACCACAUGGAGCCGGAGCACCCGUCGCUCGAUGGCCAACACUGGAGAAAUGGGAGCAGAAACAGCAGGGAACACUGCCGCGCCUCCCUUGUGGAGGAGGCCGUCCUUGGGCCGCUGCACCCCACACUGCCUUGUACAGACACCCCUCGACUGUGGUUCACAGGACGUGGCUGGGACCUGGCUCUAGGAGUAAGCGGCGUCUGUCUCUUGAGGAGCCCAAAGCUCAGGACAGACACACAGUGGGAGGCGUCCGGCCGGGGAGGAGUGGCUCCUCUGCCAGCCGUCUGCAUGGUGGCCUCUCGGGGCUGUCCCCGUGACGCUCUGGCUGGUGGUGCCCGCCCUGAGGUCGCCCGCUUCCCGGCUCUGUGCG
rnacentral:lncRNA from 1 species